AUUGAACGCUGGCGGCAGGCCUAACACAUGCAAGUCGAGCGGAUGAAGGGAGCUUGCUCCUGGAUUCAGCGGCGGACGGGUGAGUAAUGCCUAGGAAUCUGCCUGGUAGUGGGGGAUAACGUCCGGAAACGGGCGCUAAUACCGCAUACGUCCUGAGGGAGAAAGUGGGGGAUCUUCGGACCUCACGCUAUCAGAUGGGCCUAGGUCGGAUUAGCUAGUUGGUGGGGUAAAGGCCUACCAAGGCGACGAUCCGUAACUGGUCUGAGAGGAUGAUCAGUCACACUGGAACUGAGACACGGUCCAGACUCCUACGGGAGGCUGCAGUGGGGAAUAUUGGACAAUGGGCGAAAGCCUGAUCCAGCCAUGCCGCGUGUGUGAAGAAGGUCUUCGGAUUGUAAAGCACUUUAAGUUGGGAGGAAGGGCAGUAAGUUAAUACCUUGCUGUUUUGACGUUACCAACAGAAUAAGCACCGGCUAACUUCGUG
rnacentral:rRNA from 1 species